ACUACGGGCGGCAGCAGUGGGGAACAUUGCACAAUGGGGGAAACCCUGAUGCAGCAACGCCGCGUGAGUGAGGAAGUAUUUCGGUAUGUAAAGCUCUAUCAGCAGGGACUAGAAAAGAAGGUACCUGAAAAAGAAGCCACGGCUAACUACGUACCAGCAGCCGAGGUAAGACGUAGGGGGCAAGCGUUAACCGGAUGUACUGGUUGUAAAGAGAGCGUAGACGGAAAGGCAAGUCUGAAGUGAAAGCCCAAGUCUCAACCAUGGGACUGCUUUUGAAAAUGUCAAACUAGAGUACGGGAGAGGUAAGAGGAAUUACUAGUGUAGCGGUGACAUGCGUAGAUAGUAGGAGGAACACCAGUGGCGAAGGCGUCUUACUGGACCGAAACUGACGUUGAGGCUCGAAAGCGUGGGGAGCAAACAGGAUUAGAUACCCUUGUAGUC
rnacentral:rRNA from 1 species